GUCGAGCGGAUGAUGAAGAAGCUUGCUUCUUCUGAUUUAGCGGCGGACGGGUGAGUAACACGUGGGCAACCUGCCCUGUAGAUUGGGAUAACUCCGGGAAACCGGGGCUAAUACCGAAUAAUCCAUUUCCUCACAUGGGGGAAUGUUAAAAGACGGUUUCGGCUGUCACUACCGGAUGGGCCCGCGGCGCAAUAGCUAGUUGGUGAGGUAACGGCUCACCAAGGGGACGAUGCGUAGCCGACCUGAGAGGGUGAUCGGCCACACUGGGACUGAAACACGGCCCAGACUCCUACGGGAGGGAGCAGUAGGGAAUCUUCCACAAUGGACGAAAGUCUGAUGGAACAACGCCCCGUGAGUGAAGAAGGGUUUCGGAUCGUAAAACUCUGUUGUGAGGGAAGAACAAGUACGAAAGUAACUGCUCGUACCUUGACGGUACCUCAUUAGAAAGCCACGGCUAACUACGUGCCAGCAGCCGCGGUAAUACGUAGGUGGCAAGCGUUGUCCGGAAUUAUUGGGCGUAAAGCGCGCGCAGGCGGUCCUUUAAGUCUGAUGUGAAAGCCCACGGCUCAACCGUGGAGGGUCAUUGGA
rnacentral:rRNA from 1 species